rnacentral:rRNA from 1 species
CCUACGGGAGGCAGCAGUGGGGGAUAUUGCACAAUGGGGGGAACCCUGAUGCAGCGACGCCGCGUGGGUGAAGGAGUGCUUCGGCAUGUAAAGCUCUAUCGGCAGGGAAGAAGCAAGACGGUACCUGACUAAGAAGCCCCGGCUAACUACGUGCCAGCAGCCGCGGUAAUACGUAGGGGGCGAGCGUUAUCCGGAUUCACUGGGUGUAAAGGGAGCGUAGACGGCCAUGCAAGCCAGGGGUGAAAGCCCGGGGCCCAACCCCGGGACUGCCCUUGGAACUGUGCGGCUAGAGUGCGGGAGGGGCAGGCGGAAUUCCUGGUGUAGCGGUGAAAUGCGUAGAUAUCAGGAGGAACACCGGCGGCGAAGGCGGCCUGCUGGACUGCGACUGACGUUGAGGCUCGAAAGCGUGGGGAGCGAACAGGAUUAGAUACCCCGGUAGUC